ACAAAUAAACAACCGCAAAGCAGCCUAAGUAUAAACAACCAUUACAAAAGUCAGAUCGUUCACAGUUUUAAAUAAAAAAAGUAUUAAAAAAUCGUUAUAAACACUUAACAACAAAAGCAAACAUAACAAUGAAAAAUUUAAAAAAUAUGUAUAUUUGUCACAGUGAUUUACAACGAUUAUCAACUCUUCAAAGUGCUGAAAAUAAUAUGAUUUUUUACAUAUCUUCAACAGGAAGGAUAACCCAGUUAACCCAAAUCACAAGACGAAACCCGCACUAUAAGGAUCACACCAACUACAAGGAUGCCCCCCAAACCCCACCUCAACGAAAUGAAACUCAAGACGUAACUCCUAACACAAACUGUGAAAAAAGCAUAACAAACCAAACAAAAUGCCAAAUUCUAAACCUUUUCGAAACCAAAUGUGAUAAAAAUCUUAUAAAGCCCAUUGUACAAAACAAACAAAACAAAAGAAACAAACCCAAAAUCAAGAUAAAUUAAAUUUAUGCACCAUGAGUAACAAAACAAAAGUAUGUCAAAAUCAAAUGACUAAAACAACAAAGCCAACGAUAAAAACUAAUCUGUCCAAGAAAAACGCCAUUUUGUAAGAAAUACACAAAAGCAACUCUCAAGAAUAUAAAACUCAGAGAAUUUACAAACAAACAAAAUGUAGACUCAAGAAAUCUAAAAUUAAGCAAAAUUUAAAAUCUCGACAAAUAACUCAGGCGAAUACAAAGCAAGCAAAUUAACUCAAACCUCAUUAAAACUGGAGAAGAGAACAGAGCAGAACGCAGCAUCUGCAGCAGCAGUAAACGACAAAGCAGCAGAAUUUUCCCUUUGUAACUUUCAGAUACAACACUUGGUAUCUAGAUACUGUUAAAUGGGAGAAAUUUUCUAUUGCCAAGAGGAGAAGACAUGAGGCGAAAUCAAUGUUAGAUACAUUUAACCCCUCACAAGACAACAUCAGCAGCAGCAGGACAGGCACACACAGAGUACUCCGUCUAAGGUUUAUCUAAAGCUAAACAUAUACCCCUGGACCAGGCAGCAGAUAAAUUUCAAUGCAUAGAAAAGGACUCACACAAUGCUCAGGCCUUUCACUCAUGAAUUCUCUUAAAAAAGCUAACAACUCACUUGCACACGCACACAACCAUAAGACAACCACCCUGAUAACCCACUCUCAUGCCAACAGCAUUCAUAAUCAUUAUCAAGAUUAUUCUUCAUCAAAACAUACUCAUCCCUUGCAAACACACAAAAACCCACUAACAACCAAACCAACCGUUUGCAAAAUCUACCAACCACCCAACCAACCCUUUAAACGAAAGCGAAAUUUUUCUAUCAAGAAGAACUCCAGUUUCUUACAGCGAGCAAAUGAAUUCCUAAUGAUGCUCUUUGGCUUUUGAGGAACUAAGGAAUGGCAAGGACUUGAACCAACUUGGCUGGUCAAAACUGGUGGAUGGAUGGAUGGAAUAUAAAAGCGAAGGAUGAAUGCCAAAUUAGAAUAAUACACAGCAAAACGGCAGGUGUUUAAUGCGAAAAAUAUACGUAACGGAUAAGCUAUAAGCGCAAUGAAAGAUUUUAAUUUAACUAAUUUGGCAAAACAGUUCGUGUUAUUCGGCUAUAGAGUUUAUUGGGUAAAUUCUCAAAAAAAACAAAAACAUUGAGUAUUAUUUAAAUAGAAUCAAUUGGCAUUAUAUUUAUUAAUAGCACGAUAUUUGAAUACAAAAACUGUAAUGAAAAACAAUCUUUUUCAAAAAUUCAAAAACAUUUAUUCUAAAAUAGUAAGAAAUAUUCGAAUUGUAAUAUGACAACAAAAAUAUGUAAAAUAUGAAAUUAUUUAAACGCGAAAGGAUUAUCAAGACAAAAAAAAUUAGAAAAACCAGGUUACAAGGUUGUGAUGUAAUUUGUAUGCUUUGAAUGAGUUCGUAAAGGUACAAUGUUUGAAAAAAUAUGUGAGAGAUCAUGAAGAAAUGGUAACAAUACUUUGAUAUAUUGACAUCAUGAAUGUUUUAAG